UGCGCCUUGCCAGCCCGCUCAGAAACUUAAAGGAAUUGACGGGGGCCCGCACAAGCGGAGGAGCAUGUGGUUUAAUUCGAUGAUACGCGAGGAACCUUACCUGGGCUCGAACGUAAGAUGACUGUAGGUGAAAGCUUACAUCUCUUCGGAGCAUUUUACGAGGUGCUGCAUGGUUGUCGUCAGCUCGUGCCGUGAGGUGUCGGGUUAAGUCCCAUAACGAGCGCAACCCCUACCUUUAGUUGCCAUCGGGUUAAGCUGGGGACUCUAAAGGAACUGCCUACGCAAGUAGUGAGGAAGGCGGGGAUGACGUCAAAUCAGCACGGCCCUUACGUCCAGGGCUACACACGUGCUACAAUGGCCGAUACAGAGGGCAGCUACCUGGUGACAGGAUGCAAAUCUCCAAAGUCGGUCUCAGUUCGGAUCGGAGUCUGCAACCCGACUCCGUGAAGUUGGAUUCGCUAGUAAUCGCGCAUCAGCCAUGGCGCGGUGAAUACGUUCCCGGGCCUU
rnacentral:rRNA from 1 species